GACGAACGCUGGCGGCGUGCCUAAUACAUGCAAGUAGAACGCUGAAGGAGGAGCUUGCUCUUCUGGAUGAGUUGCGAACGGGUGAGUAACGCGUAGGUAACCUGCCUGGUAGCGGGGGAUAACUAUUGGAAACGAUAGCUAAUACCGCAUAAGAGUAGAUGUUGCAUGACAUUUACUUAAAAGGUGCAAUUGCAUCACUACCAGAUGGACCUGCGUUGUAUUAGCUAGUUGGUGGGGUAACGGCUUACCAAGGCGACGAUACAUAGCCGACCUGAGAGGGUGAUCGGCCACACUGGGACUGGGACACGGCCCAGACUCCUACGGGAGGCAGCAGUAGGGAAUCUUCGGCAAUGGACGGAAGUCUGACCGAGCAACGCCGCGUGAGUGAAGAAGGUUUUCGGAUCGGAAAGCUCUGUUGUAAGAGAAGAAAGAGUGUGAGAGUGGAAAGUUCACACUGUGACGGUAUCUUACCAGAAAGGGACGGCUAACUACGUG
rnacentral:rRNA from 1 species